AGAGCCUUGGAGGGGCUCUGAUGAAGAAGUAGGAAUGAUGCUGCUGUGAUGAGCUGUUUGUGAGACAACCACCCAGAAGAAGAGUUGUCUUAAAGCUGUCACAAGAAGAGGGAACUCCUCUAACAGAAAAGAUGGAUGUGAGCAUAGGAAAACACAGGUGAUGGUCUGGGAGCUCUAGGAGGAGCUGCAAAACACGGAAGACUCAGCCAUGAUUAUUCAGAUCCUAGCAUUUCCUAGCUUUGACAUAAGUGCCCUCCUCACGUUAUGCGCCAUUCCUCUGACUGCCCCUGAGUGCAAGAACAAUGCAGGAAAACGGGGUCAGUGCCUUUGUCUCCUCCAACUGCAGCUGCCAGCCCAGCCAAACCCAGCCCGCCAGACCCGGCUCAGCUGCUGCUCUGCUCCAACGCGGCCUCGGACUCUCCUCGGUCUCCCCUGCUGCUCUGGCAUCCUUGGUCCCUGAGCAUGGCACUUGCCGGCCUUUCCAGAAAUGCCGCGGCGGAGGUGCCACAGGCUCCCCUUUCCAGAAAUGCCGCGGCGGAGGUGCCACAGGCUCCCCUUUCCAGAAAUGCCGCGGCGGAGGUGCCACAGGCUCCCCUUUCCAGAAAUGCCGCGGCGGAGGUGCCACAGGCUCCCCUUUCCAGAAAUGCCGCGGCGGAGGUGCCGCAGGCUCCCAGGGCCCUCCGGCCCCGCGGCCAGGCCCUGGUCCUGCGCGGGCCUCCCACAGCGGCCGCGCCCGCCCGCGCCCCAGCCCGCAGCGCCGGGACAGCCGCUCUUCCCCUUCCGGGAAGGGAAAGCUGCCAGGCUCCCAGGUGAAGCUGCUGUCCCCCACAGAGUCCUCCUAGCCCUGGUCCCCGCCGCCGCUGGUGGCAGUGCCAGCGAUGUCAGGAGCGGCCCCUGCGCCACCGGCAGCUCCUGCUUUGACUGAUACAUAGGUUUUCUGCCUAUUAUACAUAUAUAUUGGUUUUCAGGGAGAAAAGCAUUUUUUGCUUUUAGCACGCUUAGGAGUUUAAAUAAAAACAAAUAUAUCUAUAUUGACUGUAGUUAUUAUGCUUGGUUUCAUACAGAGUAAGUGGUUCAAACAAAAAUAGAUUGGUUGGAGUGAAUGUGCAUCAGUUUCAAUAAUAACACAGGCAGCUUCAAGGAGCAUAUAAGUUUCAUUUAAUGUGCACUGGGCUUUCAAAGAAGAGGCAAGAAACAUUGGGUUAGAACAGCUUUUAGUCUACGUUUUCUGUCUAAAGGCUUCUACAUUGACCAAAUUUCUGAAAUAGAAUGGAAGUCCAUAAACAAGUGGAAAGAGAUGUUUGUUAGGAGGCCAGAGUGGUGUUACAGAGGGAGGAAGUGAUAUACAACAAAACAUGAUCUUGAGGUAGAAUUUCCCAACUACAGUAUCUCUUUAGUUAUUCCCCUAUGUGUGGGAUUAUUUCCCCCAGAAAGACUGGCCUUCAAACUGGAGCAAAAAAAACCCUUGGUGUUUUUUUGCAACAAAGGGUUGCAAGUUGUGAGAAAACUGCAGUAGCUGAGAGCCAGUUUUAAAAGGGAAAAUUGAGAAUGAACUGGGAGCUUAACAAUUUUCUUGGGUCUAGGCCACAUCCCUCAAGAAAUGCUACAGACAACUAGGAGAGGGGUGCCUUGGGCCGGAUUCAGACAGGCUUUCUGCCCCUGGUGUCAUGAAUCCAGGAGCUACUGCAGUCAUAACAGCUCCGGGUUAGAUAAACACAAAAGGAAAAGAGAUCUCUUUAAGAUAUCAGGUGUUCUUUCAAAAACAUCAGGGAAACAAUCUGAGGCAGUGAUU